AAUGAACCGGCUUCGCCGUAAGUGUUUCUAAGACGAGUGGUCAUUCAUGGUAGAGAUCAAAUUUAUUUAGAUUUUAUUUUUGAAAUCAGGAUUAUAGAUUCAUGGCUUUCAACAGACUCAAGAAUUUGCUGUUAAUUAUCCCAUACUUUCGGUGUUAAGAAACCUUCGAUUAAGAGAUCAAAUAUAAAUGCUGAUGAUAAAAGACACCGUAGUAUAAAGAUGAACUUGAAUUGAUAUAAUUUUCAAGUAUAUGGCUUAA
rnacentral:lncRNA from 1 species